rnacentral:rRNA from 1 species
UACGGGGGGGGCAAGCGUUGUUCGGAAUUACUGGGCGUAAAGGGCGCGUAGGCGGCCUUCUAAGUCAGACGUGAAAUCCCUCGGCUCAACCGAGGAACUGCGUCUGAUACUGGAAGGCUUGAAUCCGGGAGAGGGAUGUGGAAUUCCAGGUGUAGCGGUGAAAUGCGUAGAUAUCUGGAGGAACACCUGUGGCGAAAGCGGCGCACUGGACCACAACUGACGCUGAGGCGCGAAAGCUAGGGGAGCAAACAAG